GUCCUGCGCGGCUCGCUGUACUCGCCGGGUACUGGAGGUCAGGAUCGCGUAUGUAACGUCCACUGCGAAAUGCUAAGAAAGCGCCAAAAGCAGCGAGUUUAACGUGAGAGCGACGGACACACGCGCCGCGCACGACUUGUGAAACCUGGUCUCCGCCGAGCCGAUGAGCCGCCGGCGGUGAAAGGAAGAGCUCGCGGAGAGAACCGAGGCGCCACCGAACCCUGUCCGUCCGGUUUGUCCUACAAAGGCGCCGGGAGUUUGACAGCGGCAGGGACGCGAGUGCGCAGGCCCGACGGGUCGACUGCCGGUGGGGGGGGAACUACAUGAGACGAUAAAAACGCGUGUGUUUGUGACCCGAGAGGAAAAGAAGCUCCGCCAUGAGGAAGGACGUGAGGAUUCUGCUCGUGGGGGAACCCAAAGUGGGGAAGACAUCACUGAUCAUGUCUCUGGUCAGUGAAGAGUUUCCUGAUGAGGUUCCCCGCCGAGCUGAGGAGAUCACCAUCCCAGCUGAUGUCACUCCAGAGAGGGUGCCCACACAUAUUGUGGACUACUCAGAAGCAGAACAGUCAGACGAGCAGCUGUAUCAAGAAAUAUCCAAGGCAAAUGUUAUUUGCAUAGUUUACGCCGUCAACAACAAGAAGUCCAUUGAGAAGGUGACAAGCCACUGGAUUCCCCUCAUAAAUGACCGAACGGAUAAAGAUAGCAGGGUACCAUUAAUCCUCGUGGGGAACAAGUCGGACCUGGUGGAACACAGCAGCAUGGAGACCAUCCUGCCAAUCAUGAAUCAAUAUCAGGAUAUUGAGACCUGUGUAGAGUGCUCUGCCAAAAACUUGAAAAACAUCUCUGAGCUGUUUUAUUAUGCCCAGAAGGCCGUUCUCCACCCGACAGGACCCCUGUACUGCCCAGAGGAGAAGGAGCUGAAGACCUCUUGCAUUAAGUCUUUAACUAGAAUCUUUAAAGUGUCUGACCUUGACAACGACGGAAUCCUCAAUGACAAUGAGCUCAACUUCUUCCAGAGAACAUGUUUUAAUAUGCCACUGGCACCACAAGCCUUAGAGGAUGUAAAGAACGUAGUCAGGAGGAACAUGGGAGACGGAGUCCAGGACAAUGGACUCACACUCAAAGGCUUCCUGUUCCUGCACACGCUCUUCAUACAGCGAGGUCGACACGAGACCACCUGGACCGUGUUGAGAAGGUUUGGUUAUGACGAUGACCUGGAACUCACGCAGGAAUACCUGUUCCCCAUGAUAAAGAUCCCUCCAGACUGCACCACCGAGCUUAAUCACAACGCUUACCUCUUCCUUCAGAGUGUGUUUGACAAGCACGACAAAGAUAGAGAUUGUGCGCUGUCGCCAGAGGAGGUGAAGGACUUGUUCAAAGUGUUUCCCUACAUGCCAUGGGGUCCAGAUGUCAACAACACUGUUUGCACUAACGAUCAGGGAUGGAUCACGUACCAAGGAUACCUCUCUCAGUGGACGUUAACAACAUAUCUAGAUGUACAGCGUAGUUUAGAGUAUUUAGGUUACCUGGGCUACUCCAUCAUCUAUGAACAGGAGUCCCAAGCAGCUGCUAUGACAGUAACUCGCAACAAGCGCAUUGAUCUACAGAAGAAACAGACCCAGCGCAGCGUCUUCCGCUGCAACAUUUUGGGGGCGCGGGGUAGUGGGAAGACCGGUUUCCUCCAAGCUUUCCUGGGCAAAAAUCUGCAGCAUCAGAGGCGGAUUAGAGAAGACCACAAGUCCCUCUAUGCCAUCAGCACAACCUAUGUGUAUGGUCAGGAGAAGUACCUGCUGCUCCAUGAGGUGAUGCCAGAUUUUGACUUCCUGUCAGAGGAGGACUUAGCCUGUGACGUGGUCUGCCUGGUGUAUGACAUCAACAGUCCAGACUCUUUUGAAUACUGUGCCAAAGUGUACAAGCAAUACUUCAUUGACAGCAAGACGCCAUGUGUGGUGAUCGCUGCCAAGUCAGAUCUACAUGAAAUACGGCAGCACUACAGCCUUUCACCGCACGAGUUCUGCCGUAAACACAAGCUUCACCCACCCCAGCCGUUCACGUGCAACACGACUGACGCACCCAACAAAGACAUCUACACCAGACUCACCACCAUGGCCAUGUAUCCCUCCAGCAAAUCCACCUGCUCGCUGUACAGUCUCUCACAGAAAAGUGUGUCCAUGCUGUGCCGGCUAACACACAGGCUGCUUGCCAGGUGUUCACACGCAUGUUUCUGUCUGCCCUUCUUUCUCUUCCUCCUGCAUGUGGUCACCCUCUGCUAACCUGCCUGUUUAUGUUGCAUGGCUCAUCUGUUCCUCACCUUUCUCUCCGCAACCAAUGGCAUGUCUUCAGUAAAAUAAUGCCACCUAUUGGCAGAUGGGAUCUUUCAUUAGUCCAUUUCCACGGUAAAGAGAGCUUGGUGUUGUGAAUAAGACGGGAGCUUUAUUGGCCGUGAGCGCAGGGUUUGAGUGGCUGUGUUUACUGUUGGAUUGCGCAGUCAGGUGUCAUGUUUAAUGAUUUUAUCCAAAUUGGCCUGAACGUUUGCCAGCGCGAGAUCUCUGUGCUCAUGCCUUUUUAAAUCUCUGGUGCUAUUAAUAGCAUGACACCAAACAGGCCAGACCAGGCAGUGCAAGGGGCUGACACACCCCAUUGAAUUCCCAAUGUGUUUUCUGAAAACAGGGUUUGUUAUAGGUGUUACAUUUUAUUUCAAAUGACAUGAAUUCACUUGACAUUGUAAUCCAAGUCAUUUUGCUUUGUGGGCAAAACUGAAUGAACCAAAAUUACCCCUUUUGUCACCAGAAUUACAAGGAGCAAAAAUCCCUCAAAGUCAAUCAUGACUUUACGUCCCGUUUAAUGUAAAUAAUUGAAACCAAACAAACUGGAAAUCUCAGCACUUGAACAUUCAUCAGUGUGAUAAGAACUUAAACUUGAGCCAUGUCCCAUCCACCUCCAUAUGAUCGAUAAAGCAGCCGGUCACCAGGACGUGAUUGAAAUGCUUUGGUGUCACUUUUUUGGAGCCGUCAUGUCCAUCUUUAAGUACAGUCUAUGAUUUGUGGAUAAAAAUCAAAUACACCAGAGCUGCCAGUUUCUGUAAAAUAUGCAAAAGAGAAUAUAGGGAAAAAAGUGGGAACAGAUUAGAGCCAAAGAUGUACUUUAUUUUCAAAGAAACUUGUACUCGAGGGAGAGAAAUUUUACCCAGUGACAAAGAUCUGCAGCUUUUCUAGUCUGGCUGCCCUGUGGUGUGUACAGUUUGGAUAUGUGAUUUGUGUGUGUGUGAGAAGCUUUUCAUUGUUUGAAGUGUGCAGUGACAUUUGACGAGGUAUAGUUGCACUUGUGCUUUUGAGGGUUUGGGGGUGAAGGAAGUUCCCACUUUUCGUGCUGGUUAGAGCUGGUGAUACUGAUGACAUUGAGGUUGCGUGUGUUUGUGUGUGUGUGUGUGGGGGGGGGGAGCUGCCUGCUGUCAGAGGAGGAUUUCAGCCUGACACAGCAGGUUGCAGCUGUCUCCAGCGUGGAGGGGUCCAUCUUUAUGGAGGGCUUUGCUGUGCAGCUAAUUCCCUCAGACAGACACAUGGCUCAGGCAGACCUGAAGAACUCCACCUUCUGGCUGAGAGCGAGCGUUGGUGCCACCGUGUUUGCCGUGCUGGGCUUCGCCAUGUACAGAGCUCUGCUCAAACAACGGUGAUCAGAGAGCAUGAC